UUACUCAAGAAUAAUAAUUUUAAACAUAUUUUCUUUUAUAAAUGUUUUAUUUGGUUUUAUUGAAGUACAUUUUAUUCCAUCUGAAGAGUAUUUUCAACAUUUCGGUACAAAUGCAAAAAUGUGACUCUUCAGGUGAAAAAUGCAAAGCUGAUGUUUGUUUGUGGAAAAAUGGGCAGAUAUUUGACUCAAAUGAAGGUAAAUCUUUAGCAUGAAGGCCGUUUCCUUUUUGAAAAUGCUGCCUUGUUGUUCAGUCAAACAGGAAAAGCCAGAACAGAACAGGUUCCCGUCUGUGAUGUCAGAGCCAAACAAAAGCUGCUGUGAGUUUGGGGUUGAGUAACCUCGGCAGCUUAAAAGCAUGAACGCCGUUCUCAGUGAGGUUUUUUUUAUCUUCUGGCUCUGAUUUCUACCCGGUUCUUCACCUUUUCCAGCGUUAAAUUAUUCAGAUCGAAAUGCUGAAGGGACUCUGGGCCACACAAUCGCUUCUUUGGAUAAUUACAGUGAUUUGGCCAGAAACCUUCAGAAAGUUCAGCGUUUACAAAGGCUGUAAUCAGCUGCGGCGCCGGACGGGUUAGAAUCCGCACAACUCCUUCAGAUUCUGCAGCCAGAAAUUUCAAAAGGAAACAAACCUUUUUCUCUGCACCAUGAUUCAACCAAGAAGAGCUUCGCUGGUCCAGAGAACAAUUUCCCAUUAGAAUAAAAAGAUGAUGUUGAGAUGGACUCCAAAUAUUUAUUAUUAUAAACGAAAGCUACAACUGUACAGAUCCUUUUGGCAAUUGAGUUUACAAUUUUGAACAAACCUGUAUAUAAAACUGAAUUAAUUACUAAAAAAAUAUUUAAAUGUCAUGAAGUAAAUCGGAGGAGCAGGCGUUGGUGUUUGUUGCAAAUCAUUCAGAAUAAAUCACUUUAGACUGAUGUUCUGGUGUGCUGCUCUUUUCUAGAUUUGAAAACAUCUGCAGUCUUUGAGUGCACCUCCCUUCUCCUGCUUUUCUGCUCUUUGUAGAUCUGCUUGAGUUCAAACAGUACAGAGGAUUUUCUAGAAUGAGUCUCAUGUCAAAUCAGCUUAAAGGGAAUAAAAACAACAAAUAGCACAUUUGAAAAAAAAAAAAGCAAAGAAAAUUUGAAAACAGGUUUAAACUCAAAAGGACACAAUGUAAACCUGACGGAAAUAAUAAAGAUUGAAUAAAAAAAAUUUAAAUUUGAAACUCGAAUUACAAAAACUAAAAAUCUAAAACUGUUAUGAAAUGAAAAAGUUUAUUUGGAAAAGCUGCUAUUUUGUAUUUUCAGUUUCAGUUUUUUUCAACUAUUACUAUAUUACAUCACAUCAGAGGGGGGCUCACAAAUGCAGGGUGGGGCUGAGCACAACCGUUUUCUACUUCACCCUAACUCACUUUUUACUACCGCUUUGCUUUACUUUACUAUGACCACCCACAGCAUGAUGGUAGAAAAAAUGUGCACGAACAUUUUUACCCCACGGGCUCCUUGAGGGGUCUAUGACCUUCAUGUGAGACCCCCGCAUGCCCUGUACAGAUUUCUUCUUUUUUUUUUUUUACUUCAGACAGACCAAAACAGAAAAACAACAGUGGGCUGAAAUGGGAAUGGGUUUUACACUAAUGUUUGUUUUGUUUGUACACAUAUUACAUUUACAAGUGAUUAUCUUACAAGAAAUAGAAGGAAUCUGGAAAAGUUCACCUGCCAUGUUCAGUAUCCAGGUAUUUAUUUCUGAGUGUCACUUGUUUAAGUUUAGGCUAAAGAUGUCUUGGACCCAUUUUAGGUCAGUGAUUCGGAUCGUUCAAAAUGAACCAAAAUUGACUGAAUCGCAUCGUCUGUCUCUGCAUGUUUUGCUAACUGUUUUUUUGGUAUUAAGACAGUUCCACAUGAAAUACGUUUGGUGAACAAGUGCUCUGUCUUUACACUAUUGAACAUUUUUUCAGAAUAAAGAUUUGUAGUUGAAAUAAAUCCUUAAUGGUGUGAAAGAGAAAACAGGUUAUAGGCUUAAGAGCAGAAGCUAACCAAUCAAAAGAAACUUAGUGAGCGAGUGAAGCAUCACCAAAAUAACUCAAUUACUUUACUGUUUGAAAUAAAAAAAAUACUGUUCUAAAGGUGUGAUUACAGGGUUAGAAAUCCUUCAAAAAUCACCUUCAUGUCUUCUUUUUUUAUGUGAGCAUCAGUCAGACACAUCCUCCCUUUUAAAUCUUGAGUAAAUACUAAUCAAUUGCUGGAUCACUGCCUGAGGGGUGCUGAUUAAAGAUGAAAACGGUGAAUUAUUGUCUUAAUAACAUCACAGCUCCUUUGCUACACACAGUUUGUCAUCAUGAUUGACAUUCUUUUUCAUGAGGAAAAAUUGUGAUGCAGAAAAAUUAUUUGUUCCCCCAUAAAUGAAUUAAAUUAAAAGAAAACCACAAUUUUUUAUUCACUUAGGCUGUCUUUGUGUGCUUGUUCGAUGUCUCGAAUCAUUUUAGUUUGACACGAGCAAGAAAACAAAUCAGGAAGAAACACUUAGUUUUUCACAGCCGGUCGUUUACACCCAAACAAAGAUUUGAUACGUCAAAUUACGUUAAGUUGAAGUUUUUAUGGAGCAGAAAUAAUUAAGACUUUGAAGUGAGUCUCAAAUGUGUUUUUAUGGCAAUUUCAAUACUACGUACGAGUGGCAGGCAGUUAUUGUGUAAUUCUGUUCCUUGCGUUUGUGGAUGCUCACUUUCUAAAUGAUUUUUUUUUUUUUUUAAAUAUUGCUAUGACUAAGGGUUUAUUUCUAAUGCCGUGCACUUCCUCUGUGAGGUAAGUCUUCUGACACACAACACAACUUGAAGCUUAAUUAAAAAAUCAAAGUUAAUUAUUCAUUUUUUUCCUGUUUUUUUGUUAUUUUUUGUGUUACUAAAUCCUUUUGGAUUUAGUUUCCUGUGGAGUUUUAGCUUCCUGGUCCAAAGAGUUGGCUGAGGAUGGAGCUGAUCUUCAUGCAGAAGCUCAUAAGCAGCACUCAACCACCACGGCAGAGGAGGAAAGGGAAACUGAUUGUUCAUUUCUGUGUUUUGCUUAACUUAUAGAGCUAAACUGAAACUGUUUAUUGUUUGAUUUCUUUUGAGUUAAAACACUGAUUUCAUGUUAGAAAAUGUCCUCUAUCGUAUUAGACUCUACGAUGCUUCAUUGACACUGGACAAUAGAUUGUGUUAUCUAAUGUAUUCUAGUGUUAUUAUCAUUAUUGCUAUUUAUUAUCUGUUGCCAUCUGUUGUUUAUAUUAUUAUAUGGAGUAUUUGAACAAGAACUUGAAUCCUGGAUCUCCACAUUCAAAUCCUCUACAUCUAAAGCCUUAGUCACAUGGACCUGUACUGGAGGGCGGAUGACCGGUACUGGUGCUGCAGGUUUUUCAGGUUUGUGGAGGAUCCCAGCAGAAGCUCCUCCUUAUCUUACUCUAAUGAAAAUAGCAUAAACGAUUGCAUCCUGGUGAACUUAUGACCCUUCUCCUCCACGAACGCCCAACCACACCAGCACUGUCCUCCCUUUUCGGUGUUGAUAGCGUUGAUUGAGGUUGAGACAUUCUCUCCUUUUUAUGGAAGGAGAAAAAGGAGGGAAAAUGGAUGUGAUUAAAGCCCAUUGAUUGUGAGACAUCUUCACGAGGCAUUGAGGAGAGCUGGGAGUGCUGGCUGAUGCCUCAAUCAGAAGGGAGAGGAGGGGAUAAUGGAUUCCAUUUUGUCGUUUGUGCUUUCUUUAUGGUUCAGGACAGAGCCGGGACGCCAUCGGUUUGAUUGCGCUGAUGUGGGUCAGCCGUGAAUCUCCUCUGGAGCUCUAAGAGGGAUUUUAGUGCUGCGUGUUUACUGACAAGCACAGCUCGUGAAAAGAUCUCAAAAGGCUCGAAGAAUCACCUGUGAUUGCUUGGUUUUGUUUGCUUUACGCCUCAGUUAGCGGGCAGGCCUGCCAUCCAUGUCCCCAUUCCCAAAAGGUUGAUCUGAAGUGUGGAGAUGAAAAGCAGGAAGAAGUCUCCUGUGAACAAAACGCCUGGCAGCCGCUGGAGCUGGAAAUCCCACAGAACACAACAUCUGUAUCCACGAGGUCCAAUUAUAGCAGCAUCCUGUCUCUGAACGCGCUGACCAAACUCAGGCGUUUAAGGCGUCGCAUGCUGAUGACUUCACUUCCCAUCUGCCACAGACUGUGCAGCAGCGAGGGAUCAUGUCCGGCUCACUAGAGAGUGAAAUACAAUCACAUAAUCCCUCACAGAUGCUGUUGAUGUAACAUCUACAGUCACAGAAGUCUAUGGAAGGAGAAAGACCAUCCUUUGUUUAAUGUGAACACUUUUUAAUCUCACUUUUUUCUUGUUUUGGCUGGAUAUAUUAUUGUUGUUUUCAUAAAACACAUGCAUGAAUGGUAAUUAACUCAUUUAGCAGUGUAAUUUACUGACAAAUCAAUCUCAGGGUACAUUCACGCUGGUAGGUUGAGUUUCCAUCUGUUUCCAUACCCCUAUAAGUUCCCAUUGUUUGGUGAGUGUGAAGGUUUCUGUUCUUCUAGUUCACUUGCAGAUGAACUCUGGUGUGGUUCAUCUCAGUGUGAAUGACUGUCAGUGUACCAAAAAGCAGGAAUACAUCCUCCCAUCUUCCGUAUCUUUUUAGUCUCUACAGCAGUGACAUCCAACCCCUGGGUUGCAGACUGGUACUAGUCUGUGGGACGGUUGGUUCUAGGCCUCAGAGAGAAAAACAAAACAAAAACACGGCCUACACUUCCGUGUAGAUUCUCAGACAUCCAAGUCAUGAUAAAAUGAAAAGAAAAGAAAAAAACUUCUGGUUUGAAGACGUUUCGGCCCUAAUCUGAGCGGCUUCUUCAGUUUAGUCCGACUGGUGUUUAGCUAGAGAUACUUAGUUAAUAAAACAACAAAAAAACA